AGCGGCACGCAUACAUUGGAGGGAUGUUUGGAGCUGGGAUUUACUUUGCCGAAAACUCUUCCAAAAGCAAUCAGUAUGUUUAUGGAAUUGGAGGAGGAACAGGCUGCCCCACACACAAAGAUAGGUCAUGUUACGUAUGUCACAGACAAAUGCUUUUCUGUAGAGUGACCCUUGGAAAGUCUUUUCUGCAAUUCAGCACCAUGAAAAUGGCCCAUGCGCCUCCAGGACAUCACUCAGUCAUCGGUAGACCAAGUGUCAAUGGGCUGGCGUAUGCUGAAUAUGUCAUCUACAGAGGGGAACAGAAGGCCGAGUGCAUACUGCCUGGACACCACUGGCUCCUGAGGCUGGAGGAAUUUCUUAGGGAACAAGCACUUGGUGACGAUACCUUGCCCCUAAAGGCGGUCUUCCUUGCAAUACUGGGGGAACAGACCUCUGUGCUUAUCUCUAACCCCCCUUUCCCCAUGCUUUUACCUAGCCGUCUACUGAACAGAUUCUGUACUCUCCUACCAACCGUCUCUCCCCAAUGAGCUCCCUUUUCCAACUGGACAGCCCCGGGACAUCCAUUGACUUUUUUUUUCCAUUCAGAAAAGUCCUCUGCCUCAAAAAAAAAAAAAAGUUUCUCUUGUUCUUCUACCUCAAAGUUGGUACCUUUCCCCCACACCCUGCUAUUAUGAGAGUUCAGGAGAUUGUUAAGAGGCCUAGGUUGGGUAAUCCAACCAGUUCCAGUAACGGGAAGGUACAGGUAAGUCCUGACCAUUCAAUGUGCUGUUAGAGCAGCAAGACUUAGACAGUCAGUCCUACCUUGAUUCCCUCCCCGACGUUGUUUCCCUCCACAUUUAUUCCUCUGAAUGAAACACUCUUUUCCAAAUCCU
rnacentral:lncRNA from 1 species